AGGGAAAAAGCAAAAGUCAGACAAAAUUGGACAAGAUGUGUAUGAGAAUUCAGAAGGCUUUGCUCUCGAACAAAAACCCGAUAAUAAUGUUUACUCAAACGCCACAGAUGAAGGUCAUUCAAAGGAAAAAGAAAAGCCAAGAGGUUACAAAAAUCAAGAUGGUUUGUUAUACGUUGAAGUGAAGUUUGAUGCCAAGUCAGAAAAUGGAAAACCAAUCAUUCAUGGAGAGGAGGAAAAGACCGAUUAUGCCACCGUAGAAUUCCCUUAUCCAUCCACCUCACAUGCUGCAGCAAGCAGUGAUAAAGAAACAAAAUGACUUAAAUGAUGAUUCAACAAAUUAAUAAAUUUAAAAAAGAAUGCCAAACAUAAAACUCCUAUAAAAAUGUUUCCAACAUAUUUUUAUACUGAUAACACAACGAAAAGGAAUCUUAAAGUUUUUAUUUUUAUAUAUUGAUAAUGUUUUUCUUUCUUUCGAUUUAAUUAUACAUGUAUAUUCGUUGUAAGCUUAGGUGGCUACAUGAUCAUGUUUCUGAUCAGAAGUUUUCCAACGUCUAUCUGUUUGACUUUUUAUUGAUCUUCCAUCAAACUU